rnacentral:rRNA from 1 species
UAGGGAAUCUUCCGCAAUGGGCGAAAGCCUGACGGAGCAACGCCGCGUGAGUGAUGAAGGUUUUCGGAUCGUAAAGCUCUGUUGCCAGGGAAGAACGUCUUGGAGAGUAACUGCUCUGAGAGUGACGGUACCUGAGAAGAAAGCCCCGGCUAACUACGUGCCAGCAGCCGCGGUAAUACGUAGGGGGCAAGCGUUGUCCGGAAUUAUUGGGCGUAAAGCGCGCGCAGGCGGCCGUUUAAGUCCGGUGUUUAAUCCCGAAGCUCAACUUCGGGUCGCACUGGAAACUGGAGGGCUUGAGUGCAGAAGAGGAGAGUGGAAUUCCACGUGUAGCGGUGAAAUGCGUAGAGAUGUGGAGGAACACCAGUGGCGAAGGCGACUCUCUGGGCUGUAACUGACGCUG